UGGGCAACCUGCCCUCAGCUCUGGGAUAACUCCGGGAAACCGGUGCUAAUACUGGGUAUCGACUUCUGCUCGCAUGGGUGGUUGUUGAAAAUUUUUCGGCUGGGGAUGGGCCCGCGGCCUAUCAGCUUGGUUGGGUGGGGUGAUGGCCUACCAAGGCGACGUCGGGUAGCCGGCUGAGAGGGUGACCGGCCACACUGGGACUGAGACACGGCCAGCUCUACGGGNGCA
rnacentral:rRNA from 1 species